rnacentral:piRNA from 1 species
UGAGCCCCAUAAACUCAUUGAUAAGCCUCACC